CCUCUUGGCAGAUUUAAAUUGUUAGAGAAAUGAAACUCGUUUGAAAACAGUGGGCCCUGGCAGGCCCACUCCCAGGCAUUGCCCAGGACUCUGGGAACAGUUGUCAGCUUGCACGGCGUUUGUCUAGGUUGGGUUUGAUCUUACUCUCAGAUCCCAUAUGAACCUCGGAGAGGCAAACACGAGGCUCGUUUCAGAGACUCAAUUUAAGAUAGACUAACAUGCACAAUGGCACAAGGACCAGUGAAAACUUUCUGUACUUGGUGGUUUGUGGAGUUAAAAUAAGUCAUCAUCCCUCACCUCAAACCUGACUUUUGACCUGGAUUUCUUCUUUAUGUCUAACCAUCAGUCAUCCCAUUCAAUGGAAGAUGUCAAAGGCAUUUCUUCAAACCUGUUCAUUUCCAGAGCAAGGCUUUUCCAGAUGGGAAUUAGAAAGCAAGAUUUGAUAAAAUCUGCUUCCCUAUUACUCAAUACAAAGGAAUAUUACAGUAGCACUCCUGUUUCCGCUAAUCCGUUCAUUUCAGGUUUGAUUUACCUUUUUUGCCUUGAUCUCAAAUCCAUGUGGCUUUAUAGGAUUUAUAUUGCUAUAUUCAGGGUUUGAAUGAAUCACAGAGUAUGCAUUUUAAUAUGAUUUCUCUGAUUCCAAAGCCAGGAUUAACCUGUUGUUUUUUAUUAAAAAGAUUUUAUGUUUAGAUUUCAGAAGAGUGUUAAAUUUCUCUAGUUAUUUAUAAACAGACAAAAGAAAUUGCAUUUGUUGACUAUACUAAUGGAAGAAAGGGAAAAAAGGAAGCAUAAUUUUAUAGAGAACUUAAAAUAUUAAUACUUAAU